UGGCUCGGCAAGGAUCCCUCGUCUCCAGCAGAUGAUCCGUGAGAUGUUUCCUGAUGUGGAGCUUCUCAGCUCAGCACCUCCUGAUGAGGUCAUUGCCGGGGGAGCAGCCCUGGAAGCAGGCUUACUGGUUGGCAGAGAUGGUCUUGUCCCUGAGGAGGAGUCUGUCACAGUAGAUGUUUCUACCACUGACAUACUAGUCAAGGAGGUGGAUGAAUCUGGAGCUGAGGUGUUCA